GAUGAAGAACGUAGUGAAAUGCGAUAAAUAAUGUGAAUUGCAGAAUUCAGUGAAUCAUCGAGUCUUUGAACGCACAUUGCGCCCCCUGGUAUUCCGGGGGGCAUGCCUGUCCGAGCGUCAUUGCUGCCCUCAAGCACGGCUUGUGUGUUGGGCCCCGUCCCCCCCUCCCGGGGGACGGGCCCGAAAGGCAGCGGCGGCACCGCGUCCGGUCCUCGAGCGUAUGGGGCUUUGUCACCCGCUCUGUAGGCCCGGCCGGCGCCUGCCGACCACCAUCAAUCUUUUUUCAGGUUGACCUCGGAUCAGGUAGGGAUACCCGCUGAACUUAAGCAUAUCAAUAAGCGGAGGA
rnacentral:misc_RNA from 1 species